rfam:Cephalotus follicularis DNA, scaffold: scaffold4914, isolate: St1.
GGGAGCGAUCAUACCAGCACUAAUGCACCGAAUCCCAUUGGAAAUCCGAAGUUAAGCAUGCUUGGACGAGAAUAGUACGAAGAUGGGCCUGUCAUAUGACUUUUAUAGACACAGGCUAGUGCCAUGA